rnacentral:rRNA from 1 species
AACGAACGCUGGCGGCGCGCUUAACACAUGCAAGUCGAACGAGAAGGCGUAGCAAUACGCUUGUACAGUGGCGAACGGGUGAGUAAUACGUGGGCGACCUACCCUCGAGUGGGGAAUAACCCGCCGAAAGGACGGGCUAAUGCCGCGUACGCUUCCAUCUUUAUGGAGGUGGAAGGAAAGCCGUGCCGUGGGCACGGCGCUCAAGGAUGGGCUCACGUCCUAUCAGCUUGUUGGAGGGUAACGGCCUACCAAGGCUCCGACGGGUAGCUGGUCUGAGAGGACGAUCAGCCACACUGGCACUGCGACACGGGCCAGACUCCUACGGGAGGCAGCAGUGAGGAAUAUUGCGCAAUGGGCGAAAGCCUGACGCAGCGACGCCGCGUGGGGGAGUGAAGGUACUUCGG